GACGAACGCUGGCGGCGUGCUUAACACAUGCAAGUCGAACGGAAAGGCCCUUCGGGGUACUCGAGUGGCGAACGGGUGAGUAACACGUGGGUGAUCUGCCCUGCACUUUGGGAUAAGCCUGGGAAACUGGGUCUAAUACCGAAUAGGACCACGCGCUUCAUGGUGUGUGGUGGGAAGCUGUGGCGGGGUGGGGUGGGCCCGCGGCCUAUCAGCUUGUUGGUGGGGUAAUGGCCUACCAAGGCGACGACGGGUAGCCGGCCUGAGAGGGUGACCGGCCACACUGGGACUGAGAUACGGCCCAGACUCCUACGGGAGGCAGCAGUGGGGAAUAUUGCACAAUGGGCGCAAGCCUGAUGCAGCGACGCCGCGUGAGGGAUGACGGCCUUCGGGUUGUAAACCUCUUUCAAUAGGGACGAAGCGCAAGUGACGGUACCUAUAGAAGAAGCACCGGCCAACUACGUG
rnacentral:rRNA from 1 species